rnacentral:rRNA from 1 species
CUACGGGUCGCUCCAGUCGAGAAUCUUCCGCAAUGGACGAAAGUCUGACGGAGCGACGCCGCGUGCGGGAUGAAGGCCUUCGGGUUGUAAACCGCUGCCAGUGGGGAGGAAAUGCAUCAGGGUUCUCCCUGGUGUUUGACCGAUCCGCAGAGGAAGCGCAGGCUAAGUUUGUGCCAGCAGCCGCGGUAACACGAACUGCGCGAACGUUAUUCGGAAUCACUGGGCUUAAAGAGUUCGUAGGCGGCCUUUCAAGUCGGGUGUGAAAUCCCUCGGCUCAACCGGGGAAUUGCGCCUGAUACUGUUGGGCUUGAGGGGGAUAGGGGUGAGCGGAACUGAUGGUGGAGCGGUGAAAUGCGUUGAUAUCAUCAGGAACACCGGUGGCGAAGGCGGCUCACUGGAUCUCUUCUGACGCUGAGGAACGAAAGCUAGGGGAGCGAACGGGAUUAGAUACCCCUGUAGUC